rnacentral:rRNA from 1 species
GCACAGGAUGCACCGUAGUUUACUACACCGUAUUCUGUGAGUUGCGAACGGGUGAGUAACGCGUAGGUAACCUGCCUGGUAGCGGGGGAUAACUAUUGGAAACGAUAGCUAAUACCGCAUAAGAACAUUUACUGCAUGGUAGAUGUUUAAAAGGUGCAAGAGCAUCACUACCAGAUGGACCUGCGUUGUAUUAGCUAGUUGGUGAGGUAACGGCUCACCAAGGCAACGAUACAUAGCCGACCUGAGAGGGUGAUCGGCCACACUGGGACUGAGACACGGCCCAGACUCCUACGGGAGGCAGCAGUAGGGAAUCUUCGGCAAUGGGGGGAACCCUGACCGAGCAACGCCGCGUGAGUGAAGAAGGUUUUCGGAUCGUAAAGCUCUGUUGUUAAGGAAGAACGUGUGUGAGAGUGGAAAGUUCACACAGUGACGGUACUUAACCAGAAAGGGACGGCUAACUACGUGCCAGCAGCCGCGGUAAUACGUAGGUCCCGAGCGUUGUCCGGAUUUAUUGGGCGUAAAGCGAGCGCAGGCGGUUAGAUAAGUCUGAAGUGAAAGGCAGUGGCUCAACCAUUGUAGGCUUUGGAAACUGUUUAACUUGAGUGCAGAAGGGGAGAGUGGAAUUCCAUGUGUAGCGGUGAAAUGCGUAGAUAUAUGGAGGAACACCGGUGGCGAAAGCGGCUCUCUGGUCUGUAACUGACGC